AGGGUGGCUGUGGGGGAGCGGCCUGAGGACAAAGUCGCUGGUGAUGGCCUGGUAGGUGUUGGAAGGGGUUCUAAUAGUCCCUGGGUCGCGGGUUCGAGUCCCGCCCGCCCUA
rnacentral:tRNA from 1 species